GGACAGUUAGUUUAACGGUAGAACGUCUGUUAUAUGAAUCUCCUGAUUCACAACUUUAUCCGUAAGGGUCGAAGAAUUAGGGUUAUCGCUAAGGAACAGAGGGUAGAGGUUCGAAUCCUCUCCUGUCCA
rnacentral:tRNA from 1 species